rnacentral:rRNA from 1 species
UACCUGGUUGAUCCUGCCAGUAGUCAUAUGCUUGUCUCAAAGAUUAAGCCGUGCAUGUCUCAGAAUAAGUCUUUACACGUCGAAUCUGCGAAUGGCUCAUUAAAACAGUUAUAGUUUAUUUGAUGGUCAAUUGCUAUAUGGAUAACUGUGGUAAUUCUAGAGCUAAUACAUGCGUAAAAACCCGACUUCACGGAAGGGUUGUAUUUAUUAGAUACAGAGCCAAUCCCGCUUGCGGGUUUUUGGAUGAUUCAUAAUAAAUGAACGGAGCUAAUGCCAUUGGCGUAGCUGUGUCAUUCAAGUUUCUGACCUAUCAGCUUUCGAUGGUAGGGUAUUGGCCUACCAUGGCCUUGACGGGUAACGGAGAAUUAGGGUUCGAUUCCGGAGAGGGAGCCCGAGAAACGGCUACCACAUCUAAGGAAGGCAGCAGGCGCGCAAAUUACCCAAUCCUGACAUAGGGAGGUAGUGACAAGAAAUAACAAAGUAAGCCACAAUCGUGGUUUUACUAUUGGAAUGAGUAGAAUUUAAAUCUCUUUACGACUAUCAAUUGGAGGGCAAGUCUGGUGCCAGCAGCCGCGGUAAUUCCAGCUCCAAUAGC